AUAAGCUCCGGCUAACUCCGUGCCAGCAGCCGCGGUAAUACGGAGGGAGCUAGCGUUAUCCGGAUUUAUUGGGCGUAAAGCGAGCGCAGGCGGUUUCUUAAGUCUGAUGUGAAAGCCCCCGGCUCAACCGGGGAGGGUCAUUGGAAACUGGGAGACUUGAGUGCAGAAGAGGAGAGUGGAACUCCAUGUGUAGCGGUGAAAUGCGUAGAUAUAUGGAAGAACACCAGUGGCGAAAGCGGCUCUCUGGUCUGUAACUGACGCUGAGGCUCGAAAGCGUGGGGAGCA
rnacentral:rRNA from 1 species